ensembl:lncRNA
CAACAGGCCUUUGUAAAUCAAGUUCUACACACUUGUAUGAACUUUAUAAUCUCAUUCUUAUGUGAUUUUAUUCCUAUUUUAUAUCAAACGCAGUGUUUCUGAAUUUCAGUGAAUUUUCUUAACAUUUGAAUAGUGAUAUGUCAUAAAUAAUAAAAUGACCACAGUAACUGUUAUAAAGUGAAUUUUUUGUGAGACAGAAAUGUGGUAAAGACAACUAAUUGUAACAAAAUGUCUUUGUGUUUAUGCUGCAGCCCAAAGUUAAACCAACAACAAAAAGGACAAGCAAGUGGAGCAGCACAAAGCAGACAGAAGACAAAGGCUAGAGGAGAUGGAACGAUUCCAGGGAAGAUGAGUGAACAUAUAUAUGAGAAUGACAAACAUGAAAAUGAGUAUGAGAAUGAUAUGUAUGAAAAUAUAAAACUUGAAGAUUCAAGAAGGCCAAGGGUUCCUACUCCUCCUCAGGUAUCAAACCCUCCUCCUGUGCGCAGGUGA